rnacentral:rRNA from 1 species
GAUGAACGCUGGCGGCGUGCCUAAUACAUGCAAGUCGAGCGAACGGACGAGAAGCUUGCUUCUCUGAUGUUAGCGGCGGACGGGUGAGUAACACGUGGAUAACCUACCUAUAAGACUGGGAUAACUUCGGGAAACCGGAGCUAAUACCGGAUAAUAUUUUGAACCGCAUGGUUCAAAAGUGAAAGACGGUCUUGCUGUCACUUAUAGAUGGAUCCGCGCUGCAUUAGCUAGUUGGUAAGGUAACGGCUUACCAAGGCAACGAUGCAUAGCCGACCUGAGAGGGAGAUCGGCCACACAGGAACUGAGACACGGUCCAGACUCCUACGGGAGGCAGCAGGAGGGAAUCUUCCGCAAUGGGCGAAAGCCUGACGGAGCAACGCCGCGUGAGUGAUGAAGGUCUUCGGAUCGUAAAACGAUGUUAUUAGGGAAGAACAUAUGGUAAGUAACUGUGCACAUCUUGACGGUACCUAAUCAGAAAGCCACGGCUAACUACGUG